UGGGGAAUUUUGGACAAUGGGCGAAAGCCUGAUCCAGCCAUGCCGCGUGAGUGAAGAAGGCCUUCGGGUUGUAAAGCUCUUUUAGUCGGAAAGAAAGAGUCGCAAUGAAUAAUUGUGAUUUAUGACGGUACCGACAGAAAAAGCACCGGCUAACUACGUGCCAGCAGCCGCGGUAAUACGUAGGGUGCGAGCGUUAAUCGGAAUUACUGGGCGUAAAGGGUGCGCAGGCGGUUUUGCAAGUCAGAUGUGAAAGCCCCGGGCUUAACCUGGGAAUUGCGUUUGGAACUACAAGGCUAGAGUGCAGCAGAGGGGAGUGGAAUUCCAUGUGUAGCAGUGAAAUGCGUAGAGAUGUGGAAGAACACCGAUGGCGAAGGCAGCUCCCUGGGUUGACACUGACGCUCAUGCACGAAAGCGUGGGGAGCAAACA
rnacentral:rRNA from 1 species